UGGCAGUUGGAGUCUCGCUGGCUCAAGGUUGACUCAGCCUUCCAUCCUUAUUUAAAUAUGGGCUGAGGCGAGACAAUCGGUACAACACUAUUUUAUUAACAAAUGGCAGAACUGAACGAACGGCAACAAAACACCUGACAGCAUUUCUAUAUAUGCCGGCUGUCAAACCCAACCACCAAUCAGCUGGCACCUUUUCUGGGAGAUAACAACAUGGCUAUUCCCAUCCCAUGUUUCUCUGGCAAAAUAACUGUUAGAAUAUUAUAAACUGAAUUUUGGAGAUUAUAACUCAAAAUAUAUGUGCUGGUUUAUUCUUUCUCAGGAGAAGUGAUAAGCUAGAUAAGGAUGCUUGUGAACUAUAGAAGGCAGCGAUGCUGGUGAUCUUGGACAGAUCCUUCAGAAGUUCACCCUGAACCUAAUUGUAUUGAAAAUCUACAACACUACCUACAGUGAUUGAGAAGCUGGCAGGCCAUCAAUUACAAAGGAGUCUGGAAGAAAGGAUGCUGUAUUGGUCAUUCUUGUUGAUGAUACAUGAUGUUGGGAAACACCAGCCAGGCAGAGGGAAAAUCUCAAGUGGGGUAUUAGCCUCGAAUCUUUGAGCAGAUGCAAGAACUAACCCUCCUGAAGAAUCUUUUCUAUCUGUUCCUAAAAGAAGAUAGAAUUCUGGGGAGAUUCCUGUAUAAUAGGUAAAAUGUAAUAAAGUAGUUAGCUUGAA